AACACGCUGGCGGCAUGCCUAACACAUGCAAGUCGAACGAAGGCUUCGGCCUUAGUGGCGCACGGGUGCGUAACGCGUGGGAAUCUGCCCUUGGGUUCGGAAUAACUCAGAGAAAUUUGAGCUAAUACCGGAUGAUGACGUAAGUCCAAAGAUUUAUCGCCCAAGGAUGAGCCCGCGUAAGAUUAGCUAGUUGGUGGGGUAAAGGCCUACCAAGGCGACGANCUUUAGCUGGUCUGAGAGGAUGAUCAGCCACACUGGGACUGAGACACGGCCCAGACUCCUACGGGAGGCAGCAGUGGGGAAUAUUGGACAAUGGGCGAAAGCCUGAUCCAGCAAUGCCGCGUGAGUGAUGAAGGCCUUAGGGUUAUAAAGCUCUUUUACCAGGGAUGAUAAUGACAGUACCUGGAGAAUAAGCUCCGGCUAACUCCGUGCCAGCAGCCGCGGUAAUGUAUCG
rnacentral:rRNA from 1 species